CAGAAGGACGCACGGACGGCCGAGGACGCCUACAACACCGUGGUGCGGUAUUUCGGAGAGAGCCCCAAGACGACCCCCCCAUCCGUCUUCUUCCCAGUGUUUGUCCGGUUCAUCCGCUCCUACAAAGAUGCGGAGCAGGAGAAUGAGAUGCGGAAGAAGCAGGAGGAGGUGAUGCGGGAGAAGCUGGUGGGGCAGGGGGCUAAGAAGCGGG